rfam:Pan troglodytes isolate Yerkes chimp pedigree #C0471 (Clint) chromosome 8, whole genome shotgun sequence.
GCCGGGCGUGGUGGCGCACACCUGUAAUCCCAGCUACUCAGGGGGCUGAGGCAGGAGAAUUGCUUGAACCCAGGAGACGGAGGUUGCGGUGAGCCGAAAUCAGGCCACUGCACCCCAGCCUGGGCAACAGAGUAAGACCCUGUCUCAA